AAGUCGUAACAAGGUCUCCGUUGGUGAACCAGCGGAGGGAUCAUUACUGAGUCGUAAAAACUCCCAAACCCAUGUGAACUUACCUAUGUUGCCUCGGCAGGACCUACCCGGGACCUACCCUGUAGCUACCUUGUAGCCUGCCGGUGGACAUCUAGACUUUCUUGUUUUUUAAUAGAAAUCAUGAACUGUUCUUAAUUAAAUAAGAUCAAA
rnacentral:misc_RNA from 1 species